UUUUGGAAAAGAAAGUGGCGCGAGAAAUGUCUAGAUUUGAGAGGGAGUAGUUAAAUCUUCUUCUCAAAAAUGGCUUACACCUACGUGGUUUCUAACCUAUGUGCUUAACCAUGGGAGAACAGGAUUUAGAAGAAUAAUUUUAAUUGAUUGCUCAUAUUUUUAUAUUUUACUGUGAAAUAAAAUAAUGUUUUAUAACAAUA
rnacentral:lncRNA from 1 species